AGCACCCGCGGUAAUUCCGGCUCUAGUAGCGUAUAUUAAAGUUGUUGCAGUUAAAAAGCUCGUAGUUGAAUUUCGGGGUUAGUAGGUUGGUCAUGCCACUGGUAUGUACUGAUCUUACUGAUUCCUCCUUCCUGAUGAACCGUAAUGCCAUUAAUUUGGUGUUGCGGGGAAACUGGACUGUUACUUUGAAAAAAUUAGAGUGUUUAAAGCAGGCUAACGCUUGAAUACAUUAGCAUGGAAUAAUGAAAUAGGACGUUCGAUCCUAUUUUGUUGGUUUCUAGGAUUGACGUAAUGAUUAAUAGGGAUAGUUGGGGGCAUUAGUAUUCAAUUGUCAGAGGUGAAAUUCUUGGAUUUAUUGAAGACUAACUACUGCGAAAGCAUUUGCCAGGAUGCUUUCAUUAAUCAAGACGAAAGUUAGGGAUCGAAGACGAUCAGAUACCGUCGUAGUCUUAACCAUAAACUAUGCCGACUAGGGAUCGGAUGAUGUUAACUUUUUAUGUACUCAUUCGGCGCCUUACGG
rnacentral:rRNA from 1 species